rnacentral:rRNA from 1 species
ACGAAGGUUGCGAGCGUUGUUCGGAAACACUGGGCUUAAAGCGUAUGUAGGCGGGCCAGUAAGCGUUUUGUGAAAUCCCUCGGCUUAACCGGGGAAUUGCUUGGCGAACUGCUGGUCUUGAGGCAAAUAGGGGUGCAUGGAACUCUUGGUGGAGCGGUGAAAUGCGUAGAUAUCAAGAGGAACGCCAGCGGCGAGAGCGGUGCACUGGAUUUGUCCUGACGUUCAGAUACGAAAGCUUGGGGAGCGAACGG